GACAGAAGGGAGCUUGCUCCCGGAUGUUAGCGGCGGACGGGUGAGUAACACGUGGGUAACCUGCCUGUAAGACUGGGAUAACUCCGGGAAACCGGAGCUAAUACCGGAUAGUUCCUUGAACCGCAUGGUUCAAGGAUGAAAGACGGUUUCGGCUGUCACUUACAGAUGGACCCGCGGCGCAUUAGCUAGUUGGUGAGGUAACGGCUCACCAAGGCGACGAUGCGUAGCCGACCUGAGAGGGUGAUCGGCCACACUGGGACUGAGACACGGCCCAGACUCCUACGGGAGGCAGCAGUAGGGAAUCUUCCGCAAUGGACGAAAGUCUGACGGAGCAACGCCGCGUGAGUGAUGAAGGUUUUCGGAUCGUAAAGCUCUGUUGUUAGGGAAGAACAAGUGCAAGAGUAACUGCUUGCACCUUGACGGUACCUAACCAGAAAGCCACGGCUAACUACGUGCCAGCAGCCGCGGUAAUACGUAGGUGGCAAGCGUUGUCCGGAAUUAUUGGGCGUAAAGGGCUCGCAGGCGGUUUCUUAAGUCUGAUGUGAAAGCCCCCGGCUCAACCGGGGAGGGUCAUUGGAAACUGGGAAACUUGAGUGCAGAAGAGGAGAGUGGAAUUCCACGUGUAGCGGUGAAAUGCGUAGAGAUGUGGAGGAACACCAGUGGCGAAGGCGACUCUCUGGUCUGUAACUGACGCUGAGGAGCGAAAGCGUGGGGAGCGAACAGGAUUAGAUACCCUGGUAGUCCACGCCGUAAACGAUGAGUGCUAAGUGUUAGGGGGUUUCCGCCCCUUAGUGCUGCAGCUAACGCAUUAAGCACUCCGCCUGGGGAGUACGGUCGCAAGACUGAAACUCAAAGGAAUUGACGGGGGCCCGCACAAGCGGUGGAGCAUGUGGUUUAAUUCGAAGCAACGCGAAGAACCUUACCAGGUCUUGACAUCCUCUGACAACCCUAGAGAUAGGGCUUUCCCUUCGGGGACAGAGUGACAGGUGGUGCAUGGUUGUCGUCAGCUCGUGUCGUGAGAUGUUGGGUUAAGUCCCGCAACGAGCGCAACCCUUGAUCUUAGUUGCCAGCAUUCAGUUGGGCACUCUAAGGUGACUGCCGGUGACAAACCGGAGGAAGGUGGGGAUGACGUCAAAUCAUCAUGCCCCUUAUGACCUGGGCUACACACGUGCUACAAUGGACAGAACAAAGGGCUGCGAGACCGCAAGGUUUAGCCAAUCCCACAAAUCUGUUCUCAGUUCGGAUCGCAGUCUGCAACUCGACUGCGUGAAGCUGGAAUCGCUAGUAAUCGCGGAUCAGCAUGCCGCGGUGAAUACGUU
rnacentral:rRNA from 1 species